GUGCUUGUUUUGGCAGCACAUAUACUAAAAGUGGAAUGAUACAGAGAAGAUUAGCAUGGCUCCUGUGCAAGGAUGACACACAAAUUUGUGAAGCAUUCCAUAUUUUU
rnacentral:snRNA from 1 species